rnacentral:rRNA from 1 species
AUUGAACGCUGGCGGCAGGCCUAACACAUGCAAGUCGAGCGGCAGCGGGAAAGUAGCUUGCUACUUUUGCCGGCGAGCGGCGGACGGGUGAGUAAUGCCUGGGAAAUUGCCCAGUCGAGGGGGAUAACAGUUGGAAACGACUGCUAAUACCGCAUACGCCCUACGGGGGAAAGCAGGGGACCUUCGGGCCUUGCGCGAUUGGAUAUGCCCAGGUGGGAUUAGCUAGUUGGUGAGGUAAUGGCUCACCAAGGCGACGAUCCCUAGCUGGUCUGAGAGGAUGAUCAGCCACACUGGAACUGAGACACGGUCCAGACUCCUACGGGAGGCAGCAGUGGGGAAUAUUGCACAAUGGGGGAAACCCUGAUGCAGCCAUGCCGCGUGUGUGAAGAAGGCCUUCGGGUUGUAAAGCACUCUCAGCGAGGAGGAAAGGUUAAUGCCUAAUACGUAUCAACUGUGACGUUACUCGCAGAAGAAGCACCGGCUAACUCCGUGCCAGCAGCCGCAGUAAAAC